AAAACUUUUUGAACCGAAGAGGCCUGUUCUCCAGCUCCCAGUUCUCUUAAGACCUAGCGACGAACUGGCCGCCCGCUUCUCCCGGCUCCGCCCCCCCAGCCGACUCACCCCGCUUCCCCAAGGAAAGGAAAGAGGGCAGAGCCAUGGCCAUGGCGGCGCUGCGUGAGGCCUCCCGCCGCCUGGCCUUCACCUCCACGCGGGUCCUCGCCGGCGCCGCCACGCGCCCGCUGCUCCUCACGCACUCUCGCGGCAUCACACACAAGCUCUUCAUCGGAGGCUUGUCACAAUUUGCAACGGAAGACAGCCUAGCAGAAGCUUUCACGCGUUAUGGCCAAGUAUUAGAAGCAACCAUUGUCACGGAUAAGAUGACCAGCCGAUCAAAAGGAUUCGGCUUUGUGAAAUUUGCCUCCGAGGAAGAAGCCAAUAAAGCACGGGAAGAGAUGAACGGCAAGGUACUGAAUGGGCGAGUUAUAUAUGUCGACAUUGCAAAGGCCAAACAGGACCGUGCUGCAGACGUAGUUCCAAUAGCAAGAGGCCCUCCUAAGCCAGUCGGCAACACCUGAAAAUGCGUGUUGUGUUGAUGAUAAUAUAAAUAAGAACAACACAUCGAAGAGCAUAUCAGAUAAUGUUGCUGUUCUUUAACCUCGUCGACAUCGACAGGUGUCUGAUACAAUCCUGUGCUAGAACAAUGUUUUCCCCAUGGCUCCCUGGAGCCAAUGCUUUGCUGUUCCUACUUAGCAGGAGUACUUUAAAUAAACUUCAUUAAUUGCUGUAGGUGGG
rnacentral:rRNA from 1 species